CCGACGCUGGCGGCGUGCCUAAUACAUGCAAGUCGAGCGCACUGGCCCAACUGAUAUGACGUGCUUGCACUGAAUUGACGUUGGAUUCCCAGUGAGCGGCGGACGGGUGAGUAACACGUGGGCAACCUGCCCUGAAGCGGGGGAUAACAUCUGGAAACAGGUGCUAAUACCGCAUAACAACGAAAACCACAUGGUUUUCGUUUCAAAGAUGGUUUCGGCUAUCACUUCAGGAUGGGCCCGCGGUGCAUUAGCUAGUUGGUAAGGUAACGGCUUACCAAGGCGAUGAUGCAUAGCCGAGUUGAGAGACUGAUCGGCCACAAUGGAA
rnacentral:rRNA from 2 species